AGAGUUUGAUCCUGGCUCAGAAUCAACGCUGGCGGCGUGCCUAACACAUGCAAGUCGAACGAGAAAGUGGAGCAAUCCAUGAGUAAAGUGGCGCACGGGUGAGUAACACGUGACUAACCUACCCUGGAGUGGGGGAUAACUGAGGGAAACCUUAGCUAAUACCGCAUAAUACCCACGGGUCAAAGGAGCAAUUCGCUUCAGGAGGGGGUCGCGGCCGAUUAGUUAGUUGGCGGGGUAAUGGCCCACCAAGACUGUGAUCGGUAUCCGGCCUGAGAGGGCGCACGGACACACUGGAACUGAAACACGGUCCAGACUCCUACGGGAGGCAGCAGUGGGGAAUUUUGCGCAAUGGGGGAAACCCUGACGCAGCAACGCCGCGUGGAGGAUGAAGUCCUUCGGGACGUAAACUCCUUUCGAUCGGGACGAUAAUGACGGUACCGGAAGAAGAAGCCCCGGCUAACUUCGUGCCAGCAGCCGCGGUAAUACGAGGGGGGCGAGCGUUGUUCGGAAUUAUUGGGCGUAAAGGGUGCGUAGGCGGUUUUGUAAGUCUUAUGUGAAAUCUAUGGGCUCAACUCAUAGACUGCAUGAGAAACUGCAGGGCUUGAGUGUGGGAGAGGUGAGUGGAAUUUCCGGUGUAGCGGUGAAAUGCGUAGAUAUCGGAAGGAACACCUGUGGCGAAAGUGGCUCACUGGACCACAACUGACGCUGAUGCACGAAAGCUAGGGGAGCAAACAGGAUUAGAUACCCUAGUAGUCC
rnacentral:rRNA from 1 species